rnacentral:rRNA from 1 species
UAUGAAUGGCAUCACGAGGACUAAUCUGUCUCCCUCCCCCAAUCAGUGAAACUGAUCUCCCCGUGCAGAAGCGGGGAUAAUAUCAUAAGACGAGAAGACCCUGUGGAGCUUCAAAUCAAUAAUCAACUGCUUCACCCACCCCAAAUAAAGGAUACACUCACGCAAACUUGAUUUAGAUUUUCAGCUGGGGCGUCUAUGGAGAAAAAAAAAUCCUCCAUGAAAAUUCAUGCUAAAAGCUACCGCCAUAGGCAUUAAUAUACUUAACUUUAAUUGACCCAAUUUUUGAUCAACGGACCAAGUUACCCCAGGGAUAACAGCGCAAUCCACUUAAAGAGUCCUUAUCGACAAGUGGGCUUACGACCUCGAUGUUGGAUCAGGGCAUCCAAGUGGUGCAGCCGCUACUAAAGGUUCGUUUGUUCAACGAUUAAAGCCCU